rnacentral:lncRNA from 1 species
CUUUGCAAUUCUUAAGUAUAAAAGAUUUUAGGCCCCUGGGAAUUGAAAUCGAAUUGCUAAUAGAUCAUAUUACUGUUGUUGUGAUUAAAUAAAUGCAUAAAUUUUGCUUUAUGCACUCGCGUGUGCAGUCAUUUUGACAGUUAUGCUAUUUUAAAUUCCCAGGCGCCUAAAAUCUUUUGUCUUUAAAACAAUGUCGAUUUCU